rnacentral:lncRNA from 1 species
CGCGACCUCUCUCUCGUUCUCUUCUUCACUUCGCUGCGCUCCUCCUCGUCUCUCUCAACUUCGCUGCUCCUCACUUUGCUUUGCUUCAAUUCGUCAACUGCUCCAGGUACUUUCUCUUUCUCUUAGUCUCUCAUCUUCAACCCCUCUUUGUUGUUCAUUUUAUUUUUUGGAUAUUCGAUUUGGAAAUCAAGAUCGAUUAUCUUUUGAAAUUGUUUGUGGGUGUUUGAUGGAAUAGAAGAUUUUGGGGGUUGAAAAUCUGAGGUCAAUUUGAUCCUUUGGGCUCAUCUCUGUGUUGAAUAUGUGGGCAAAUCAAGUUUCCAGGUCGACCCGACAGGAACAAGAAUUCAGGGAUGAGAUUAAUCAAGGUAAUCACGAACUCUCAAGUUGGGGUUCCCUUAUUCCAUAUCAAAUUGACCAACACUACCAGGACAAGCACUUUAGCCGACGAAAAAUUUUCGUCAGCCUGUUAGCUUAAUUCGUCGGCUAAGAUUUCGUCGGGAAAAGGUCGUCUGUGGUAACUUUAGCCGACGACACAUGAAGAAGUCGGUUAUCUUCCCAGACUUUAGCCGACGAAACAUUUAAGAUAUUCGUCGGCUAUAGUCCUAGAGUUUAGCCGACGAAAAACAUGUCGUCGGUUUUUCUCAGACUUUAGCCGAUGAAACAUUUAAGAUAUUCGUCGGCUAAAGUGUGUAAUAAAAAAAUAAAAAAUAACUAAAAGCCGACG